CAAGUACUGAUCUCAGCAGAUUGAAGAGGGCACCGCAGUGGUCACCACGCAGUUUGCUGAGGUUGGAGCUGC
rfam:Chlorocebus sabaeus isolate 1994-021 chromosome 13, whole genome shotgun sequence.